UUCCUUCUUUUUUUUUUUUAACUUAAUUCAUAACUUAACUUCACAAACCCUAGCAGUCUCCUUUCUCUUUCCUUUUAAUACCUACUGCUGACUACCCUCUCUCUAAACCUGCCAACUAUCAUCACUUAGCAUUCUCUACCUUUCCUCCCUCGCACUUGUUCUUGCUUUACCUCGUUGGUCUCUUCCUCAAUCUUCUCCAGAAGUUGCAACAUCAUCCCACUGGUCUCCUUCAGUUCUUUCUCAAUCUUCACCACCAUAACCUUUUCAUUAAUGCAAUCUCUCUCUGCUUCUCUGGGGUUUCACCUCUUUGGCUUAAUUUUUGCAUUUUGUCCUUAGCUGUAUGUUGAUAUUCAUUCACCAUCUGCAUGAUUUUGUGGGGUUAAAGGUUUUUUUUUUUUUUUGCUGACCUUAAGACUUAAACUAUGUGUUUCUUUAGUUGAAUUAAUUAGUUAAAGAUUAUUGUGCAUGUGUAUUGAUUUCACUUUUCUUUGUAUUUUGCAUUAUGUUUUGAGUUGCUCUUUUUGUAAAUUUUCCAACUUUGAGAUAAAAUUCUAUUUCUAGGUUGUAAUUUAAGAACUUUGGUCUUGAUCUAAACUAAGCAGAGCUGGUAUGGCUCGGUUCUUUUAAGAAAUCAGUUCAGUUCUAAAAGGGUGAAGAACUUUGGUGGUGAAAACUCUGGAGUUGCUGACGAUGAAGAACUCUAGUGGUGAUACUACUCUAACCACUACUUACACAUAAUUUCUAGCAAAUUGGUGAGGCUGGAUAUGGAAGCGAUGACUAAAAGUAGACAGACGGACAGAGCAGCAGAAUAGGCUGCUUAUGCUACAUUUUGAUAUCUCACCGGGUAUAUUGAGUAUACCAUAUUUUGUAAUUUUUGUUGUAAUGUAUUUACACUGUAUUUAUAUAUUUUACUUGGUCUUGAGCAGUUGUAAACUAAAAUUAUAAAUUAUUUUGGCUUGUAAAAAUAUUGUGACAUGUUUCUUUUAUCUCAUCUUUUGGAAACACUGGAAAAUUGAUUGUUGAAUUGUGUUGACAAUUAUUGAGGAAAUUAUUGUGUUGAA